UGCUGGGACAGCUCAGUUGGUAAAACAUGAGACUUAAUCUCAGGGUCAUGGGUUCGAGCCCAUGCUGGGCAA